AGUAAAAUGGCCGAGUUUAGGCGGUAAAUUGUAAAUUUUCUUACGAGUUAGACUCUUUUACUA
rnacentral:tRNA from 1 species